GAGCUUUCUAUGAGGGUCAUGGAGGCAUUUCCUUGGCACUAUGCUGACUGAAUCCUCUGCUGGGUGACUACAGCUCCCAGUACAUAGGUGGUGGUGUAGCUGCAGUAAUGAAAGCUCUAAAAUUUCUUCCCAGUUUAGACAAAGGAAGUAAAAAUAUAAGUUGUUUAUUUAAUCUUCCCAAUGCCACUCGAAAGUCUGGAGCUAGGUGCUUGAAUCCUUUAUUGAUUCUGAAGCAGAAGUGAACUUGCCACACUGAUGUGCAGACAGCUGCAGGUGCGACUGCUGGUCUCUGUCAGCAUCAGGUAUGGCUUUGUAUGGAUCCAGCGUGUUACUGUAAGUGGCAUCUGCUCUGCCUGUAGACUGGCUCACAGGACACCUUCAGACCUGGGACUGCUUCUUUUUUCCACUUCUAGCAGGAAGGUGGUUAUGAGAGCCAGCACUUCCUUUCUCAUCUUCCUCCAGAGAAGGCUUCCUCCUGGGUCUGGGCAUGGGCCCCUGCCGCUGUAUUGCUGAUCACACUCUUAAGCAGCUCAGGGCACUCCAUUCAACAGCUCUGUCUCCUAAGAGAAACUGAGAAGGUGUUCCAGUGCAGCUUGAAUCAACCCAUGGCAAAUUGUUGGGCUGUGUUUCCACCCCUGGGGCAAACGAUUCCAGAAAGAAGUCAUCAGUAGCAACUAUCAGUACUCGUGAAACAGAUCCAUUUCUUUAUAUGUGACUGUUUACCCCAGGAAGGGCAAGGAAAAUUAUCAGCAGGUCUUUCAGUAAUAUCCAACAACUUGUAAUAUUCUGUUGUAAGACUGUGUCUCAUGUUUCUCAGUGAAGAAAGAAGCCCUUCUUCAUACAUGCAAUGUCUUCUCAUUCCUUCAAGAUCUUCCCAUUUUAAUCUGUUGGGUUUUGUCUGUUUGUUUUUUUAACCUGAAUAGUGGACUAUGUCAUUAAAAAAAAAAAAUCUUUAAAUGUACACCUUAUCCAAACUCAAAAGGUAAUAUGGAAAAUUUUAAUUCUCAGGUUAAAGUAACUCCUCACAUUUUACAAGAAAUAAACCAAAUGCAAUUCAUAAAGUACAAUAACGCACAAGUUCUAAGAGCAAGCUUGCCUGGAAAUGGGAAAGGUAAAUACAAGGUAAGCUUACCGUAUGUACUAAUGACCUGCAUACGGACUUUGGCAUAUAUGAUCACACCAACUAAUCUGAGCAUCACAGACCAGGUGAUCACACAAGACAUUUUUCAAAAAAGUUUUUGGCAAGAAGGGCUGUAUUUAUUAGAACCUCUCACAUUCUUUGUGAAAGACUCACUGCUACAGUACCUGGUUCAAGUAUAAGAGAAAAACUCUAAUAUCAAAUCCUUAUUUGUGUUAUCUCCUGUUAGUUAUUAACCUGUAUUUUUUUUCUGCUUAUAAAAAGGCUCCCUUUUAAAUCUCAGGAAAAAGUAGUGCUAUAACAUGCUUGUCUCCAAUUAUUUUGUUCGUUUUCUGACAGCAUGGCAUGAUAUAGAAAGCCUUAUCUGUUGAAGUAGAAGAUAACAGGGAAAAAAAAAAGCUAGCUCGACUCUUCAGCAAAGUAUUCCCAAUAUUUUAUGUGGGAUCAAUGUUUUAUGCUAGUAAAAAAUAAUUAAUGGACAACAGAUAUUUUACCCUUGACACUCACAGAACACAAAAUUUGCAGACAAAUUAUGUACACAAGAGGAAGGUGGCUCAGAGAUCAAAGCAAGCGAAUUCAUGCCUCCAUUCUGUUUAAUUAAACAUGGCUAAGCUAUAUUAAUAAACUUAUCUGAUGAGCAUAAGUGUUGAAAUAUGUAUGAUGUAUAUAUA
ensembl:lncRNA